rnacentral:lncRNA from 10 species
ACCCUAAAACUACAAAAACUUUAAGGCAAUUAAAACACUAGUCUGUGAGCAAUUUAAGAGCAGGGACCAUGUUUUAUUUGUUUUUUGAAUCGUUGGAACCUAACACAGUGUCUGGUACCUAGUAGGUGUUCACCAAAAUUUUUGUCGAAUUAGUGAAUAAAUAAAUUAAGAGGGAGGAACACUCCUGUUUACCUCUUUCUUAUCCAGUUUCUCUUUGGUCCUUUCCUCUUCUAGAAAACAAAGCAGAUAUCUGUUGAACUCAUUUAUGCCCUUUGCUUCAGCUGCUUGUUCCAAUAACUUAUUCCAUAUGUUUAUUUCCUUUAGUGUGAAAAGAUUUGGCUCAAGUUUUCUUUUUUAUUUAUAGUUUCCUGAGUUUUCAGUCCUGUCCCUGCUCGCCUGUUCCCUUUCCCAUACACACACACCCGGGAGUGUGAAGGAGCAAGUGCCGACAGCUACAACCGCGAUUCAGAGGUUCUUGAAAGGGUUGCUGUUGUUUCUGGACAGUCAUCCUGGGCGGCUGUCCCCAGGCCAGCGAGGCCGACUGCUUAGCCUGCAGCCUGGGCCGCACUCCUGAGACACUCUGCCCCCAUCUGACUGGCCACGUGCCCUCUCGCUCCUCAGUGGCAAAGGAGGAAGAGGCAGUGAGAUGGCAAAUAGGCAAGGCCACCAUCAGUCAUUGUCGUCACUGUCACCAUCGUCUUGCAGAUCAGCCACAAUCCUGCCUGCACAGAACAGGUGAUCUUCCUCCUGCUCCCUCUUCCAUUUGGAAUACUGCCGUCACCACCUGUGCAGUCUCUCCGACCAGAAACCUCAGUGUCAUCCUGAUUCAUCCCCUCCCUCAGCCUCCUCAUCGAAUGAGUCACAGAGAGAUUUUACUGGAAGAUAAUUCCCAGCAUGUGCUUGCUGAGUCCUCUCAGACUUGUUUCUGAAAUCUGACUUCCUACCCUUCACUCCAUUGCCCCUCUCUGUUCAGCUCCUCACCUUUCCCUUGAGCUACUGCACCAGUCCAGCCACCCUCUCCCUUCCACCAACCUCUCCCCUUGCGUGGGCCUCAGUGUGUCCUGCUGAAAUACGCACAUUGACAUCCUAACCCCCAAGGUGAUGGUGUUAGGAGAUGGGGCCCUUGGGAGGUGAUUAGGUCAGAAGGGCAGAGCCCUCAUGAAUGCGAUCGGUGCCUUUAUAGAAGAGUCCUCAGAAAGCUGCCUUGCCCUUUCCACCAUGUGAGGGCACAAUGAGAAGGCACUGUCUAUGACAACCAAGAAGUGUGUCCUCACCAGACACCAAAUCUUUCUUUGUUUUCUUGAGACAGAGUCUUGCUCAGUCACCCAGGCUGAAGUGCAAUGGUGCUAUCUUGGCUCACUGCAACCUCCGCCUCCCAGGUUCAAGUGAUUCUCCCACCUCAGCUUCCCAAGUAACUGGGAUUACAGGCACCCACUACCAGGCCCGUGUAAUUUUUGUAUUUUUUUGUAGAGAUGGGGUUUCACCAUGUUCUCUAGUUUGGUCUUGAACUCCUGACCUGAAGUAAUUCAUGCACCUUGGCCUCCCAAAAUGCUGGGAUUAUAGGCGUGAGCCACCGCGCCCAGCCACCAAUCUAUUGGUGCCUUGAUCUUGAACAGCCCAGUCUCCAGAACUAAAUUUCUGUUGUUUAUAAGCUACCUAGCUUAUAGUAGAGUUGACUCUUGAAUGACAUGGGUUUGAACUGCCUGGGUCCACUGAUAUGUAGAUUUUUUUCAAUAAAUUUAUUGAAAAA